UUAGGCUUCACAAAUUUUAGUCGUUUAUCAAACUGUGCAAGAUGAACACAGCAAGCAGCAAAGAAGUUGCGAUCUUACAGAAAGAUAUUGGAGAAGAAUGAGUUUUAAUACACACAGAGUAAGAACCUCAUCUUCUGACAUCAGCAAGUGAUGGAGCUACAGGAGGUGGAAUGGUGCUUUGUUCAUCAUAAUCCAAUGGACCUGGGUCUUGAACAAGCUAGAAACAGAUAAAAAAUGUAUGAAGAGAAACUGGAUCCAGCACAUACUGAAAAUUCUGCCUCAGCAAAAGGAGUUAAACAGUGCUAUAGGCAAAUUGAAAACAGUGAGCAUAAGGAAUGCAACACAGUUACACAAGCUAAAAAGAACAGGAAA